UGGGGAAUAUUGGACAAUGGGCGCAAGCCUGAUCCAGCCAUGCCGCGUGAGUGACGAAGGCCUUAGGGUUGUAAAACUCUUUUGGCAGGGACGAUAAUGACGGUACCUGCAGAAUAAGCUCCGGCUAACUUCGUGCCAGCAGCCGCGGUAAUACGAAGGGAGCUAGCGUUGUUCGGAAUCACUGGGCGUAAAGCGCACGUAGGCGGACUGAUCAGUUGGGGGUGAAAUCCCAGGGCUCAACCCCGGAACGGCCUUCGAGACUGGGCAGCUCGAGACCGGAAGAGGAGGGUGGAAUACCCAGUGUAGAGGUGAAAUUCGUAGAUAUUGGGUGGAACACCAGUGGCGAAAGCGGCUCUCUGGUCCGGAUCUGACGCUGAGGCGCGAAAGCGUGGGGAGCAAACAGGAUUAGAUACCCGGGUAGUCC
rnacentral:rRNA from 1 species